CUAAAUGCGGAAGAGAUAAGUGCUGAAAGCAUCUAAGCACGAAACUUGCCCCGAGAUGAGUUCUCCCUGAGACUUUAAGUCUCCUGAAGGAACGUUAAAGACGAUGACGUUGAUAGGCCGGGUGUGUAAGCGCAGCGAUGCGUUGAGCUAACCGGUACUAAUGAACCGUGAGGCUUAACCUUACAACGCCGAAG
rnacentral:rRNA from 1 species